ACAAACAUAUCAUAUCAAAUUUAUGAGCAUACUCUGUUAAAAACAACACAUCCAGUCAAGGAAAAAUUAAAGUUACUUUAAGUUUAAUUGCAAAAUAAGCUCGUUAUUCAUAACUUCAUACAACUUUGAUAUUCAUUCUGGUAGUCUUCCAAAACUGGGUUGCUACUUGAAUAAUAAACAAACUCAAAUAUCUCAUUAACUUAUCCCGAAAGUAGCUUCGCUACAGUCAUUGAGUUACUACGUACUAGAGAAGACCACUUAAUAUUGCAUCGCGUUCAACUGUGGCGAUAUCGCCGCAUUUCACAGUUUCUUGUAACUUACUAUAUUAAGCGAAACGCUUAAGCGUCACGUAAUUCAAAUUUACCACGUUUUGGUCGCUAGAAAACAAUCUAAACUAAUAUUAUAAUUGCAAAAGUAAGUUUGUCUGUCUGUCUGUUACCUUUUCACGGCUAAACCGUUGAACCGAUUUGAAAGAAAUUUGGAAUAAGUGGAGAACUUAGGCUACUUUUUUCCCAGAAUAAUUCACGGACUAAAAAAAACAGAGCUUACACAAACGAAGUUGCGGGCGUCCGCUAGUCUAUAAGUCAUCUAGCGCUGAAUAUUGAAUUUUAAUAAAGACUUAAUUAACCUCUAAUAGGCCGCAUAGACUACUUUAGUAUUUUAGUCGAGUACGAACAAUUUUUGGAUUUACCGCCCAAAAAUUACUCGACUAAAAUACUAAAGCAGCUCCAGCAUAACUCGUACUUCAAUUAGACGCUGCGCUGUUUUUAUGUUGCGACAUGUUUUUUGUUUGGAACAGCUUCUCUAGAACGUAAUACAUAGUAACUCAAUGGUUUCAGUAUGUAUUUUUUGUUUAUCUGUCCGCGGAGUCACUUCGUUAACUGUUGUUUGUGUUCAACAAAAUGAAUGGAAAAAGAGGAAAAAGUAAAAAGCGGAAGUGGGAAGUUUUCACGAUCUAAUUAGUAUUUUUCAUUUGCAGUACUCACUUGAACUUUUUAUUCGUUUAAGUGGAACAACGAUCAGUGGAGUGAAAAUCUAUACGUUUUCCAAUUGCUAUUGUUAAGCGUCGUGUUAGUAGUGGUUUUCUCUUUGUGAGAAGAUCAUUGAUUUCAAUAAAGAACCCCAAUUUAAGUAAAACAAGGGAAAGAAUUUAACUGCCUUUUAAUAAUGAAACCUUCUAUAUAAAAUAAUAGCAGACGCCCGCGACUUUGUCUGAUCUUAAACUUCGGACCUCUCGCAAAAUCAAUUCCAUUCAUAACAAAUGUCUAUCAAAAAACUACCUCCCUGUCAAAUUUCAACUUUGUACGUCAAACGGUUUCGAUAUUUCAUGAUGGACGGACCUUCCGCGUUUAAAUUUAAAGAUGUAUUUAAAUGAUGAAAUCCAAUUAAAGUAGUUAUUACAGAACAAAGAAAACGCUUACGUUGUUCGAGUAGUUAAUACAUGUUGAUGUUUUCAUUCAUCAGAUGUUUUGAUCCACGUAUCAAAUCAUAAUUUUUGUCAUACCAGAAUAGACGAAAUAAUUUUAUAAUAGGUUCCCGUAUUUAUAGGCAAGUACCCUAAUACGUAGGUAAUAUUAAUGGUUAGUACCUACAUUGGAAUCCGUUUUGUUUGCAGACUUUCUUUGUGUAGCACAAGAAAAAGUAAAAAGAAAGUAGAGUGGGAAGUUUGCUACAUCUACUUAAUUAGUUUUAUUCUUUGAUGAUUUAUUAUUUCUUUCGUAAGCCAUGUUCUGAUUAACUUCCUUGUUUGCUAUGGUUUGUGGUUCGGCUUCGAAUAAUGAAGUCCAAGGUUUAAACUGGAUGAAGCCAACAAAGAAAACGUUAUCUAGUUUUCUUACAAGAACUUCUUUUCAGUUAUUUGCGCAAGGUUUUAAACUAGGAGACACUAUAUGUAUCUUACAAAUUGUACAAAAUGUAAAACUCCUUCUCCAAUACAAGUUCGUAAUAAGUAAUAAGUACAGUAUAGAGUAGACAACGCAUUUUAGAAUCUAUUAGGAGUACGCCGUAAAAUACUAGAAAACCGGUGUUAGCUCACUCACAGAGUAAACAAAUCCGUCGAUUCAGUUCGACUAAGAUGUGUACCCUCUCUACAUUUUCCUUAUUCUAGGGAUUUUAGUAGGAAUUUUUAUUUUCAUCAGAAAAAUAUAACGCUAAGAGGCUUUUACGGACCCGACUAAUCUUUUCAACGUUCUUAGAAGUUCUCUUUAAACCUUUAAAUUGAAUGUUAUUUUCUUGUAGGUUUCGUCUUAUAUUUUCUAACUUGUCUAUUGUCGCCAAUUUUGUCUACAAAAUGGGGUGUAUUUAAAUUGUUUUUGAGUAUUAGUUUCUUCGUAACCUGUAAAUCGGGUAAAAAUUAAGAACCGAAAUAUAGACGAUUUUUUUUUUUAAUUUUGACAGACCGACCCAGGAAAUGAACCAAGUAGGUGGUACAUCAUGGUACCUAGCUCACUAUAUUAGCUGACUAUUUGCUAUAUAUUUUGCUAUUAUGCUAUUUGAGAGCCGUGAUAGCCCAGUAGAUAUACCUCUGUCUCCGAAUCCGGAGGAUGGGGUUUCGAAUCCGGUCCGGGGCAUGCACCUCUAACUUUUCAGUUGUGAGCAAUUUAAGAAAUAAAAUAUCACGUGUUUCAAACGGUGAAAGAAAACAUCGUGAGGAAACCUGCAUAUCAGAGAAUUUUCUUAAUUUUCUGAGUGUGUGAAGUCUGCCAAUCCGCAUUAGGCCAGCGUGGUGGACUAUCGGCCUAACCUCUCUCAUUCUGAGAGGAGACUCGAGCUCAACAGUGAGCCGAAAAUGGGUUGGUAACGAUGCUAUUUGGCGUAGUAUUAUGCAGAAGGCAACGUUAAAUCUCUAUAAUACUUGUACAUAAGCCUUCUACGACUAUAUUCGGGUAUGGUUCCGUUCAACCAAAGUUGUAACAACUUUAGUUAUCACAUGAAUUCAUAAACGCACCUGUGAAUGUCGGUGUUAACAAUGUUCUAUUUAUAUUAUUAGGUCGGACGAAUGCAAUGGGUAGGGGUCUACAGCAUCGUGGUUUCGAUUUCCACAACUGGAAAAGUGUGAAGAACAUGUAUGUUUUACAUUGUUCAUUCAGUAAGUAGAAAUAGUAAUAUAUGGGGAUAUAUGACAUCGAAACGCGUUAAACAAACCGAUUUGUUGGUAAACAGGUUUCGUUAUCCGCCUCCCUUUGUAACACACUAAUAAGUUAAAAUUUAAGGCGGAAUUAUAUUUGUCUGACGUGUCGUGUCGUGACGCAUCGAUCAGCCAUCACGACAUGUCACAACACAUAAGUGUAAACGUCAAUAUACAAAAUGUAUGAUACCGAUUCUGAUCUGAUGCGUCACCCCUAAUAAUUUAAAAAUUUAUUAAGUUCUGUUUUUCUGACAUUGCUUUAAUUUACACACACACAAUAAAUAGAACCUAAACCCACCGUGCCACUGCACCACUGAUUACUGCCGAACCGCUGUGCACCUCAAUAUUACUAACUCAAGCAAAACGUUCAUCAUAAAUUAAAAUAUCUACCUGCUUUUAAUCAAACCUAGUUAGUUUUAAUUAGUUCUUAAUAAUUGUCUUUAAUAGUUUACGUAAAGUGUUGAACUGUGUGCGUGGCGGCACCUGAACUGGGUCCUAACUGAAAAUCAGUGCUGCAUACUUUUUUUAUUGAAAGUAUGCGGCAAAAUGCUGAGUUGGGGCCUUUUUCUAGGUUGUGCCACAUAUUACAGGGAAUUCUUUAGUGCUCCACUGUUUGAGUGGACAGUUAAGCCAUAAUCUAUACUAAUAUUAUAAAGAGGUAAAGUUUGUUAGUUUGUCAAUUUGUCACAUUCUUUAAAUGGGGUAAUCUUCGGAACUACUGGUCCGAUUUCAAACAUUUCACCAGUAGAGUGCUACAUUAUCGGGGAGUGCUAUAGGCUAUAUUUUAUAUAGGUAUUAUAUAUAUUAGCUGAGUUAUCACAGUUUUUGUCAUACAGGUCGGACCGAAAAUCCUCUUAAACAGACUUAUUCGCAUGCGCUGCCUUAACUAUUGUGUAAAAUUGAAAUUAAUGUAUGGAGGCUUUAUGUAUCUUUAAAAGUUCUACAAAAAAGUCCGCGACACCAUAUCUCUAUCUUCUAUAUAUUAGCAGAUAUAGUACCUUUUGUGUUUUAAAAAUUAUUAAUUUUAUAUACUUUGUUUUACGUCAUUAUUUAUGCAACUAAACUUUAAUCCUUAUUAAAAUAAAUUACUUAAUAAUCACAAGGAUAUUAUGGAGAUAAGAUUUGCCCUUUACAGUAUGUUAAUUACUUAAAUAGUUUCGGAGAUAAUACAAAAUUUCUAAAAGACGCAGAAAUUCCGCUAUAUGACGCCCCGCGCGUUAGUGGUAGGGUAGGGUAGGGGUAGGGUAGGGGUAGUAGUAAAGUUGACAUCGAAUUUUACGCGGACGAAGUCGCGGGCGUCCGCUAGUAUGUUAUAAUUUAGAUUUAAUGUGAUAUGUGGCAUUACUUAAAAAUAAAGAUCUUUCUUCUCCUUCUUCUUUUUAAAAAAUAUUUAAAUUGUGUGGAACAAUUUUUGGCCAGUCGUAAACGGGAGAUGUAAUAGCGCAAUCACGUCCAAUGGAACGAUCCUAACAAUUUGAGCGCGGAAAUCGAUUUGUCAGAGGCGUGAAAAUUUUGCACAAAAUGCGCGCUGAAAAAUCGUCCGGCGGCUCCCUGACGCUAUUUGUCAAGGUCACAAGGCCCUAGGUCCACGAUUCAUGGGAAAUCGAUGUAGAAUUCUGAAAUUCCAUUUGGUUACAUUUGGUAAGAUUCAAUAAUUCGAGUUUUUUUUUUAAGUAUGCAAGUACUUAGAACCUCUUUGUUUAUGUUCUCUGUUUUGACUGUCACUAUUAUCGGUUCAGCAGUGCUAUUGCUAUUCGAUAUUCGUAUUUAUCUCUCUCAAUCUCUCUGUGAUUUGUUUUACAGAAAGCGAAAUAGAGUCAUUGUGAAGAGCUGAAUAACAGACUCAAUAGUUUUACUUUUAAAAUAUUUUCAAUUUUUAAUAAUCUUUUUUAAAUUUAAGUUUUAACGAGAGCAGCGCAGCGUAUUAGCAGCCAGUAUAUCUUAACAUUUACUAAUACGUCGUUUAAUUAAGACAAAAACUGGUCCAAUUACUUGCAAGUAAAAUAGGAAAAUUCAAUAAGGAAUUAAUCAAUAUGAAUUUUAAACUAUUUAAGUGCCAAAUUUCAAUUCAAUGUCAUUCUUUGUCGUGAUUAGGAAAAAAAUAUGCCAGAAUUUAAACAUUCAGAAAAAAACUUUCAUAAUUGUAAAUUAGCCGGAUAGCAACAUUAACCCGGCAAGUUUGUAUUUGAGUACGAUCUCAUCUAAUGUCGAUGCAAUCGUUAUUGAAAAUCUUGAAAUGUAAAUGUCCUUAUCUGUUUCUUGGCAAAAUAAUGAUACCAGAACAGCAAAUCCUAUCACAUACAUCGUCUAAAUAUAGAGGUCUGCAACUAUGAAGAGGUUUCCACUGUGUUUGUUAUGUAAUAUAUUCUGAACUUAACCUAACCUAUAUACGUGACCUAAUGUAAUCACACUUCUUCUUAAUACAACCACGUUAUUAUGUAGAAACGUAGAUUGGUUGUAGACAUUUGAAACGCCGGUUCUGAAACCUUUGGUCAUUCUUGGAACAUUUUUAUGGAACCUGAGUUGACUAUUACAUUUAAUCAUUUGCACGCGUCGAGUAGCAUGCUGUUAGCGGCGUAAAUCUUGGAGGUUCGCUGGCCGCCAGACAAAAUGACGGACGGAUGAAUGCAACAGCAAGGUCAGCGACCGCGUGGUGUCAGCUUCCAUCAUAAACGUCAGGUCGUACCUAUUCUUUCUUUUGUUAAAUGGAGUCAUGCUAAAACUACUAUUUUUAUAUAUUGUUUUUUUUAAAAGGAUGCGUUACAUUAAUUGUUGGUGGUGAUUCGGAUAUACCGUUCAGAUUACAAUAAGAUUUAGAGAUAACUAGACCUCUUUCGUGAGUGUUUAAAAUGCAACGUGUUUGUUGUCCCUUUAGUAUAAACGUGUGUAAUUGCUAAGCGAACUUAAAUGGAAUCAUCCUUGUGGAUUUGGCUGGUAGCGAUGUGAAUUCAUAACUUCUAGUGCGUUGUUCGACGGACCCACUUUAAAUACCUAGCCGUGGCAGUGGUUUGGUCAACAAAAAUCCAAACGCUAUAUCGACACCAUCUAAUCCCCAAGGAUUGGUAUAAUAAAACAAAUAUUUGAGAUAACCACUGUUUAUUUACAAAGUAUGUACAAAGUAACUUAACAUUUAGGAAACCUGGUUUUUUUAUGUAAUUUAACCCAUUAAUAUUUUGUCCUUUUAGGGUUUCUCAAGGGUUUAGCAUUACUUUUAUAUUGUAAAAAAAAGGUUCAUCUAAAAAUAUAGAAGCCAAAUACCGGUGAUUACUGUAAAAGUGUUUUUUUGUUUACUUAACCCCGCAUCCUCCUACGGGUAUAGAUCCGAAAGCCAGAAUCUCGGUGGUAACAUUUGAGAUUCUGGUCUACAAGCUGUAUGUUUGGCUGGUGACGCACUAGAAAUUUCAUCCAAAUCGUUUCACAAAAACCGGCACAAACUACAAGGCUUGCAGUGGCGCCUGGGGAUUUUUUUAUUAAUCCUAAAGGAUCUGUACAACGUGGGAGAGAAAAGGGAAUAAUAGAAUCAUCCGAACACCACUCUAACAAUAUUUUUUUUGUUUUCUGUUCCAAUUUCUAUUACUAUAAGAUUUUGUUUCAGCAUAAGCUUAAUAUAAAAUAACCCAUGAUCAUUUUUUUUGUGAUGGUGUAUUUGGCAUAGUUAGUUAUGUUUAUAGAGAAAUUUAAUUACUGAAUUUUUAGUUAUUAUUGUUAUUUUAAGUAACUCAAUAUUAAUUUAAUGUUUUAAAAAAUAGUUGUACCAUCACCAAUAAAUAAUGUCAGGUCAUAAGGAAAUACAGUUUCACUCUUUGAGGAAGGAUGAGCUGGUAUACGAGGUCUCGAUCAGAUCCGAGACUCCGGGUAGUACUGUAGAUGAGCUUAGGAGGCAGAUGCGAGGCCUCAUGAUUGAGUGCCCCUCGACUGCCAUAUUAGAAACAAAUAUAGACAGCAACACCGAAUUAGUAAUAAUUAAUGAUAAGUUAAAUGAACUAGCCACAAUUAUUGAAGGAUGGGGAAAAUCAGGUGAUAGGGGAUCUAUAGCAAGGGCAGAGGCCCUAGCCUAUCACCUGUUUCAUAGAGUAAACAGAUUGAAGGUCGACGAAUCAGCUAAGGUUUCAGCCAAGGUCGGGGAGGCCAGACUGAGAUUAGGAAAAUUUAUUGCAAUCAUUGAAGCGUCUGGAAAAAAUGUUUCAGAACAAUUGUCUACAUCUUCUAAGCCGUCACCUUCAGCGGAGGCUUCGGAAAUAGAGUGCUCCGGGGACAAAAACCUGGCGAAGUGGAACCUAAAAUUUAAUGGCUCCACCGAUCCGCGCUCCUUCGUCGAACGAGUGGAGGAGCUUCAGCUUUGCUACGGUGUCUCUGAGGCUAAACUCUUCAGGUCGGCGGUUCAGCUGUUUGAAGAUCAGGCACUACUCUGGUACAGAGGUAUCAGAGAUCAGGAUGGGAAUGUAAUAUAUUCUGAACUUAACCUAACCUAUAUACGUGACCUAAUGUAAUCACACUUCUUCUUAAUACAACCACGUUAUUAUGUAGAAACGUAGAUUGGUUGUAGACAUUUGAAACGCCGGUUCUGAAACCUUUGGUCAUUCUUGGAACAUUUUUAUGGAACCUGAGUUGACUAUUACAUUUAAUCAUUUGCACGCGUCGAGUAGCAUGCUGUUAGCGGCGUAAAUCUUGGAGGUUCGCUGGCCGCCAGACAAAAUGACGGACGGAUGAAUGCAACAGCAAGGUCAGCGACCGCGUGGUGUCAGCUUCCAUCAUAAACGUCAGGUCGUACCUAUUCUUUCUUUUGUUAAAUGGAGUCAUGCUAAAACUACUAUUUUUAUAUAUUGUUUUUUUUAAAAGGAUGCGUUACAUUAAUUGUUGGUGGUGAUUCGGAUAUACCGUUCAGAUUACAAUAAGAUUUAGAGAUAACUAGACCUCUUUCGUGAGUGUUUAAAAUGCAACGUGUUUGUUGUCCCUUUAGUAUAAACGUGUGUAAUUGCUAAGCGAACUUAAAUGGAAUCAUCCUUGUGGAUUUGGCUGGUAGCGAUGUGAAUUCAUAACUUCUAGUGCGUUGUUCGACGGACCCACUUUAAAUACCUAGCCGUGGCAGUGGUUUGGUCAACAAAAAUCCAAACGCUAUAUCGACACCAUCUAAUCCCCAAGGAUUGGUAUAAUAAAACAAAUAUUUGAGAUAACCACUGUUUAUUUACAAAGUAUGUACAAAGUAACUUAACAUUUAGGAAACCUGGUUUUUUUAUGUAAUUUAACCCAUUAAUAUUUUGUCCUUUUAGGGUUUCUCAAGGGUUUAGCAUUACUUUUAUAUUGUAAAAAAAAGGUUCAUCUAAAAAUAUAGAAGCCAAAUACCGGUGAUUACUGUAAAA